rnacentral:lncRNA from 1 species
CUGACUGGCCACCCUUUGCAAGACACUCUGGUCUCACCUACCUCUUCCCUAUUACAGCAGGGUGAGAAGACCCACGUGUCUACUACCUGCAACAAACACUCAAGAGUUUCCUUUUCCUCCAUCCUCGCAUUCAUCCUUGCCUGCCUGCCCAUGGAGGGCGGUGAGGCAGGCCUGGGGACGGAAUGCACAGCAUGGCAGCUUGAGCGAGCACCUCUGUGGUGUGUACUUGACAGUUGCCGAGAGUAGAUCUCGGGUUCUCACCACACACACACACACACACACACACACACACUAUGGGAAGUGAUAACCUUAUCAUCGUCAUCAUUGGAUAAUAUAGACAUAUAUCAAGUCAUUGCAUUGUACACCCUGAACUUACACAUCUUAUUUGUCAAUUACAUCUCAAUAAAGCUGGAAAAAAUAAAUAAAUAAAUGAAAAAGACCACAUGGGAGGCAAUAAAACAGAGUGGUGGGGAGCAAGGCCCUUGGAGUCUGUCUGCCUGGCAUCCGAUAUUUGACCGGAUCUGGGCUGUACUUCUGCGUCUGUAAAAUGGGCAGAUUAGCCACCUCACAGAGUUGUCUGAGGACCACCCGAGACAAGGCUGGUAAAGCCUUUGAGUGUAGUGUCUGGUACACAGUAAAUGCUAACUAAAUGCUAACAAUUUUUGAACAAAUAUUUAAUGUGUUGCAAUCUAAUGGAGAAGCUAGACAUCGAACAAAAACUCCAGAGUGAUGGAUGGUUGCGUCGCUCAGCCUCCUCUUCCAGGGCCUGCCUCAGAGCCUGGCAGUGACCCCUCACGGCUGGCGGAGACUGCAGCGCCGCUGCAGGAGCCCCAUCUGCGUGUGACACCGUUGCUUCUCCACUGGGCUCCUGGCUCGUUGUACCGGCAGCCUCAGCCUGACAGACAGGGGGAGCUGAGAGUUUCACUGGGACGCGGGUCUGCCCUCCAAAGCCCAGCCUGGGUGCUCUGCUGAAGAGAGAUGGGGGAUGUCUGUGGCUCUAGAUUUUUUGUUUUUGUUUUUAAUGGUCUGGCUUGCUCGGCCUUUUUUCCAGGUGUUUCCUAAAAUAGCUUUCCACUCCUCCUCCCUUGGACCCACCUUCAGCCCUGCCUUCAGAGGCAUCCAGAUUUUCAGACUUGAACACACAUCCAGUUCUGCUUCUGACGGUUGUCUUCAAUAAAGUGUAAAAAGGAGAGCGAGCCCUCUUCUACAUUUUACGGUCUCCGCACUCAGCAGAAUAUUCUUCCAGAAUGUUCUCACCGUUUUACACUGUUGCUUGCUGUCAUCAGACGCCAUGCUUUUUCUGCUAGACAAUGCUUGGAGCCACACCCCAGAGGCUGACGGCCUCCUGGAGGUGGUUCUGGCAACGAAAGGCCAAGACCUUGGCUCUGGACAGCUGCCUGCCCCAGGAGCUUUGCAGAGCCUGCUGGUCGGCCUCCUGGGUCCGACCCUGCUUGCCUUCAUGGUUUCGAAUCCUGUGUCCAGGGACCUGCGCCCAGCCAUUUCCCCUCUUUCUGCCGCGCAGUCUGGGGUCCUCGCAGUCUGGGGUCCUCCACUCCCCCAGCCAAGGUAGGUUCUGCCUGAUGAAUAAGUCCAGCCUCACGGCUGCAGGCCUGGCAACUUUGCUGCACUCCCUGGCCGGGUCACGCUGGAGUCGUUAGAGCCCGCCUUCUGUGAGGUGACAAUUAGCUUCUACUUUUAACCAAAGCUUUUGUAAAGAAAACCUUUAUCUUUAGCUCUGAUGUGGUAUUUAAAACAUCUUCAGAUGACUGUGUUCGAAGUUGGUGACUGGCCCUUCCUACCUUCUGCUUUAAUCAAUUUUGUUUUUCUUUACUACCACUUUCCUUCUGAUUCCUCUGACUUUUAAACAAUUACUCUUGAACAAUUGAUGAGGAAAUUCCUAAUUCCUUUAUAUUUUCACUUUUGGAUUUCUUCUUGUUUAUAAAUGGAUAACCUUUGUACUUUUUUGGAGAAGAUGACAAAGGGCCCAGAGGUCCCAGCCAUUUAGGAGCUGCGGAAGUGGAAGUUCCUGGGGGCGGGGGUAUAUUUGGGGGCCGAAGGCUUUGAGAGGGGGAUUGGGAAGGAAAAGGACAAGUAGGUAGACCUGGGGUGCAACUAGAAGUCACUGGUGCAGCUCACAUGUGCUAAUUAGGUUGGCCCGACGUACCACAGGAGUCACUUCCAAUAAUAGCAAUGGCUGAAACUGAGAACUUCCCAUACCCCAGGGACUUUGCAUGCCUUCUUCAUUGAAUUCUCACAACGGACCUUACGUAGUAGGUGCUUUCAUUAUCUCCACUUUCAGAUCAGGAAACUGAAAUAUAGAGAGUUUAAAUAGCAUGGCCGAGGCUACACAGCUGAAUGGCCAGGCAGGGUGUGAAGCUGGGCCUGCCUCACCCUCCGGGCACCACUGCUGGGCCCACUCGGCUCUCCCUCCUGGAGCCGUUAGCCUUGUCUUCUUGCCCAUCCUCCCCAAACUCCAGUCCAGUCUCACACCCCUCUUCCCUCUCUAAUGUCCUGCCCCCACAUCCUUGAUUCUUCCCCUUAAAACACUGACCUGGUAUGGUAUCUCCUUUUUCACCCUCUGUCCAGUGGGUUGCCCCACAAUUCACAAUCACAUUUUGAGGAGGGGUACACUUGCCAAAGUUCAUGAGCAGAUUUUAGAAUGCCUCCUUGCAGUACUUGUCCGAAACUAUGUUCUGGAUCCU